rnacentral:rRNA from 1 species
UACGUAGGGAGCAAGCGUUGUCCGGAAUCAUUGGGCGUAAAGCGCGCGUAGGUGGCCCUGUAAGUCCGUUGUGAAAGUCAAAGGCUCAACCUUUGAAAGCCGAUGGAUACUGCAGGACUAGAGUACGGAAGAGGCGAGUGGAAUUCCUGGUGUAGCGGUGGAAUGCGCAGAUAUCAGGAGGAACACCAAUAGCGAAGGCAGCUCGCUGGGACGUUACUGACACUGAGGCGCGAAAGCCAGGGGAGCAAACGGG